UAUCACAGCCGUAGUUACCUAGA
rnacentral:miRNA from 1 species